rnacentral:rRNA from 2 species
UAAGUCAGCCACGAAUAGGCUAUCCCAACUAACGGCGGGAAAGACUCCACGGAGGGUGUAAGACCCGUGUGGGCGCGUGUUAAAGCUGUGCGGGCUCGGCCUCUAUUCCCUGAGAGUCGCGUUGCUUGAGCAUGCAGCGCUAAGCAGGUCGUAAACUCGAUCUAAGGCUAAAUAUCUCCACAGAACCGAUAGCGAACAAGUACCGUGAGGGAAAGUUGAAAAGCACUCUGGAGAGAGAGUCAAAAGACCGUGAAACCGCUCAGAGUAUAAGCCCAUGGCAGCUUGGAAGGCAUAUCGCUAGCGGGGCAUCGGUCUUCCUUCACGGGGAGCUGGUGUUACCUUGCUUCUGUUGUGGCUCGUUAAGGUAGGGGGGUCAAGUCCACAUCCCGCCGUCGUGUGGGGGGUUCUUGGGUGUGUUGUGGUUUGUCGGUUGGCUUCGGCUUUCAGGCGGGCUCUUCGUGCUUGGUUCCUCUUUAGACACGGACGUUCAGACUCAGUUGCAAGACGCGAUAAACAGCCCACCACGGCACGUUGUGAGGUCACCCACAGGCUCGACUUUCGAUUGUGAGCCUUGACGCAGAGCAAGCACAAUGCGUGUCGCUGAGGUUCCUAACCAGGCAACAGAGCCAGGAUCGUGGAACGACACGCGCUCAACAGUCAGGCUCGGGCGGAGACAGAAUUCUGGUAUGAUCCUCUUGCGACGAGCCGGCUUCUGGCCAACAUCCGAUGCUCAGGUCUCCCGCAUGUGCCGCGGGAGAUCGCCUUGACGGUCUGGA